GGAGCGGCCGGCGCACGUGGCGAGCCCAUCUGGCUGUAAUCCAGACGCCGAGAGGCUGUGGGGGUUCGACUCCCUCCCGCUCCC
rnacentral:tRNA from 1 species